rnacentral:tRNA from 4 species
GCCCCGGUAGUACAGAGGCCAAGUAUGUCGCCCUUUCACGGCGAUGACCCGAGUUCGAAUCUCGGCCGGGGCG